CAAUACCCUCUUCUUUAGGAGUUUUCAUUUUACAGGACAUAACUUGUCAGCUGCCAACCAGGAAUAACACUACUUUUGAGUAUGUUGCUAUUGCAGUAUUGUUUAUUUUUGGAUUUAUGGAUAUUUCUUCACUGAAAACUUCAAAAGUGAGUACUCUACCUGGGCAUAUGGGGACUGCUGACCAAGAAAAACAAAUAUAGUCAUCCUUACAAAAUGCACAUCUGGACUGCUG
rnacentral:lncRNA from 1 species